AGACAAUAGAUAGCACAUGCCUAUAUCAGUUUAGUCUAAGAGUAACUCAUUUUAUUCCAAUCUAGAAUCUAAACUAUAGGUCUGGAAUGAAUCAAGACUGGCCCAGACCAGUACACAAAAAACUAAAAUUCUGUUUGUUGUUGUUGCUGUUCAAUCACUUCAGUCACAUUCAACUCUUCAUGAACCCAUGUAAUAUUCUUGGUGGUUUUCUGGAGGGACCAGCCUUAUUUUCAGUAGAGUAAUCACCACAAGAAUAGCCAGUUGUUAAAGUCCAUAUCCUUUAUUAUCUCCUUUACAAUCUAGUUUCCUUGCCUGGGGUUGGGCAACUUUCUGGAGAGCCUUUCAGACCGGCCUUGGUCUCAGUAGGGGAGUGCAGGAGGCCAGCCAACAGGAGCCUGCCGAGAGAUGGAAUGAAUCUCUCUCCUUGGCUUGGAGAGCUUGAGCUCCCGCCUCCAGUCUGCUUGUCUUCUCUGGCUCUGAUUCUGGCUGAGUUUGUCGGAGCUUAUAUGCUGUCUUAUAAUUACAUUAUAAGUGUGAAUCUUGUAGAACUAUAUUAAGUACUAAGUACAUGUACUGAACUAGAGAACUAUUAAUCACCAUGCUAAACUAGAUAACCAUUGUAUUUUAUCAAUUCCAUUGACUUAACACCUUGUAAGAAUCCUUGUUUCAAGUUCAGAGUUCUGGCCCAUAUCAAACCCAAAACAAACUUGACAAAGGUACUGGGGUGGUUUGCCAUUUCCUUCUCUAGCUCACUUUACAGAUGAGGAAACUAAGGCAAAUAGGAUUAAGGCAUUUGUUUAGGAAAUGAUUAAAUGCAUGAAAGAGGUCACCCAGAAUUUCAUUAGAGAUUAGUAGAAAGAGUUCACUUCAAAUGAAGAGGAAGAGGUGGCAGAGCCCAUGAAAAAUAGUAAAGAGGUAGUAUCUGAGAGGAUUCAGGAAUUAGAAGAGGAAGAUUCAGGGUGCAGAAAACACAAGGGUGAGGAAUCUGUUUCUGCUAUGAGAGAGAACUCAGUGAAGGUUGGUCAAUUGUACAUCUCUGGAUUGUCUUUCAAAGGGUUUGAAGACAUCUAAAAGCUCUCUGAAAAGUAAAAUAAAAUUAAGACCUACAUUCUACUGUAAUACGCUAUAAAAGAAAACAUUUAAGAGAGAUUCAAGGAGAGAAAGCAAAAAACAUGACUCCUAGCUUAUGAUAGAUAAUAAGAUGAUAAGCUUAUCAUCUAGAUAAUAUUAUCUAGAUGAUAAGCUUAUCAUCUUAAUUGAAGAGAUAAGGCAUUGAGAAAUAAUUAAAGAUCAAAAAGAAAUCACACAAAAAAUAAAAUUUAAUUUUUAUUCUGUAUUUACUUCUCUGUGAACAUGCUGCUUUUGACCCCAGUGAAAUAUAAGCUACUUGAGGGCAGCUGGUGUUUGUCUUUGUACAUCCAUCAUAAAAUCUGGUAAUCGGUAAGUGCUUAGCAAAUGCUAGUUGAGUAAAAGAAGAGUUAUCUAUACUAUUGCAGUUGGGUAUUAUUAGUUCUUUGUGUUUCUUUUGGGUUAAAUAAAACCAGACCAAUUUUGGAUAGGCACUUUUAUAAGGGUUG
ensembl:lncRNA